rnacentral:rRNA from 1 species
GACGAACGCUGGCGGCGUGCUUAACACAUGCAAGUCGAACGGAGCGAAUGAAAGCUUGCUUUUAUGAGCUUAGUGGCAAACGGGUGAGUAACACGUAGACAACCUGCCGACAGGAUGGGGACAACAUUCCGAAAGGAAUGCUAAUACCGAAUGAAGCGGAGGAGAGGCAUCCCUCCUCCGUGAAAGAUGGCCUCUAUUUAUAAGCUAUCACCUGUCGAUGGGUCUGCGUCUGAUUAGCUAGUUGGUGAGGUAACGGCUCACCAAGGCGACGAUCAGUAGCCGGUCUGAGAGGAUGAACGGCCACAUUGGGACUGAGACACGGCCCAGACUCCUACGGGAGGCAGCAGUGGGGAAUCUUCCGCAAUGGGCGCAAGCCUGACGGAGCAACGCCGCGUGAGUGAAGAAGGUCUUCGGAUCGUAAAGCUCUGUUGAUGGGGACGAACGUGCGAAGGGGAAUA